AGAGAAUCUCUGGCAACAUUCCGGUGUGCGCAACCAGACCAUAUUGGCAUAUGUAAAUUGUGCAUAUUUCCUAUGGAUAUGCACUCGUGUAAGUUGUUUAAAUUAUUAAUUUUUAACUUAUUUUUGAGUAUACAAUCUAAAUUUUAUUGUUAGAGGCCAUAUCAUAGAAAUAGAGGCAUGAAUUAUUUUUUUUUUCCAAAUCUCAUUUAGUUUGUUACAUUAAUC
rnacentral:lncRNA from 1 species